CUGUUCUAUCUACAUCUUUGCCAGAACUUACUAUAAAUUACUAAUUAUUACUGAAAUUAAUGUGUUUAUCAAUAACAGUCGUCCUGCGUCAUGAAAAAUGUUGGCAAACAACAAAACUGUAAGCAAAUAUUUACCAAGUAUAUACGAAAUUAUUCCAUCAAGCAUUACACAACGUGUUGUAACUAGUUAUUACUGCUACAUGAUUAAAAAAACAACUGUUACCAGGCAAUUCACAUGAUAACCACAUUAACCAACUCCUAGCCCAAGAUGCACGCCAAACCGACACAGAAAAAUUCUAAUUUUGACGAAAUGAGGAUUUCCAACAUCAAAAUACGGAAUCGAAAAUUAUUUUUUGAAAAUCUUUGUGCUUAAGAAAAAAAAUGUCGAACAGUUCUUUCACAUUAUAUUCUACGAGUUUCCAAAGUUAUGCAUAUUUUGUCAUCAAAAUCACCUAGAAGAAACGAUAUUUUAUGGUCCUUAAAGUCAACCAACCCUUAUUUCAUAAAUGUGGCGAUAUUAAAAACUGGUCAGGGAAGCGAGAUUGGGCAUACUUGCACAGAUGGGUGCGAGAGCUAUAGUGUAGUCAUACUCACCUGCAGGUGAAAAUGGUAAACCUUCAGAAUGUCAAUGAAUUGGGGCUUUACGACAUUAAUGAGGGUGGGAAGAGGAAACAAAUAGAUGAAGAAGAUAAUAAGGACGAAUAGAAAUGCAUAAAAAAUAUGAUGUACCUAGUAAUACAUGUAAUUUUAAUUUAAUGUAAAAAGUGUUUG